AACAUAAUAAAAGUAUUACGUCGUAUAAUUUCGGGAAUAAGGCCCGAGCGUUUCUACCAAGCUACCGUAAAUGGCUUGACUACGAGGUGAUGGAUGAUAGGA
rnacentral:ncRNA from 2 species